AAGUAACUUAUGGAUUUUAAAUUGAAAAUAAAACAUUGUCAAGAAGUGUAAUUUCUAAUACACAUUACAAUUUUCCCCAUUUUCGGCUCUUCAAUUUUUUUGGACCAACAUGAAUAGAUUAGGCUCUAUUGUAUUUUCAAAAGCUACUACACGCUUGUGCUCAAAAAAAUGCGAUCCAUCCAAGGACAAAGCUUCCAAAAGUGAUAAACCCAAGGGCAAAAGGGACAAGAAAGAUCAGUGUGGAAGAAGUACAGAGCCCACUAAACCGAAAUGUGAUAAAAACUCUGGUGCUAAAACAACUACUUCUGGUGGUAAAUCAACGGAGCAAUGUGAGAAAGGCAAGAAAUGAAGCGGAAUCAACUAAAUUUAAUGUUAUAAAGUAAAGGGUCUCUCAAAGUAUAAAUAUAUAUUUGAAAUAUAAUAAACCUUGAAUAAUCAA